AAGUCGUAACAAGGUUUCCGUAGGUGAACCUGCGGAAGGAUCAUUCACAAUACUCGACAGUUUCGGCUGUUGUUUUAGACCCUAUUAACCAACACAAACCGCGCUAUGUACAACCCUUUUAAACCUUCUAAACAACCUAGCCUUAUUAGGCGAAUUUUCUUUAUCUUGCUUUGAUCUUUGGUGGAUUCCGGGGUGAUAAGCAUUACAAUGUGUAAAUAAGUCCUUAUAUGGUGGAUUCCAUAUAGGCAUGUGUAGAAAUACGUAAUAUAUACAACUCUUUGCAAUGGAUAUCUUGGUUCUC
rnacentral:misc_RNA from 1 species